CUUGUUUAUAAGUGUAUCUCCGAGAAAUGUAUAAAAUAAUCGAGAGCGGCGGAGGCAGGUCAGAGCCGCCUGGAAUGCGCGCACCUCCAACGUAAGUAGCCAGAGCGGCCGCUCGGGUUGGAGCCGCCACCGGGCCAGGGGGCGCCUUGGCCGGGCACCUCCCGGGGUUCCCACAAGGCCUCGGACUUUUUAGGUUUGGGGCCCAAGCUGUUUUUCAGAUGGAAGCGCUUUCAGGGUCGGUUGGAUUUGGAGGCUCUCGCCUUGCAGGGGGGUUUACAAGGUUGCAAACUCGCUCGGGCCCAGGCAAGUGCGGGCCCUCGAGCCGGGUGCGUCCGGGGUUCAAGGAGGGUAGGCUGCUGAGACCACCACCCUCUUUCCCACCCCCCACCCCCAACUGCAAUAAACGAACUCAGUUGCCGUUGCGGGUGGGGGAGGGGUGCCUGCAGCCGAACGGGUCCUCCAGGGGAUCCCGGCCUGGGGAGAAGAGGGAAGAGAAGGGAGACCAGUGAGGGGCAGGCGAGGCCAUCCUCCGGAUGCCUCGCGGCUACCUGCGUCCUGCCCCCGACCGGCAUUGCCUCGGAGCCCCGGGCGGGGGCGGGAAGGACAGUUCUGGAAAAUUCCGGCCCCUUCACGAGUCUACGAAGGUUGGGGAGGGGGGAAACGGAGCAGGGUGACCAGGAUGGAGGUGCCGGCGACGCUGGCCUCUGUGGGGUCUCCGGGGAGACCGCAGCUCUUACUACUCUGCACCCCCCGCCCGCCUUCGGGGACAUUUUAAAGGACGGGUUGGGAGCGGGAGCACUCUAAGGGAACGGGUUCGAAAGGUGCACGAGCAGCGCGGCUGCUGCACCUCGGGAACGAGACUCCAGGGGACAAGAGCGCAGGGGACGCCCCGGGAAGCGCCUCGCAGCCGCGGGAGGCGCGACACCCGGGAGGCGCCGGGGCGCAGGCGGGACAAAAGUGUCCGAGCCUUCUCUCCCUCCCCACCCUCAGCGCCCGAACCCCGGGCUGGUGAGCGCGACCCCUGCCCCGACCCCUCGCCCAGCCCAGCCCGCGCGAUUACUAAGGAGACACGGCCUCCGGCGCUGCCGUCCCGCGCCGUUUGAAAACGGAUCCAUCAGCGGAUACCGGGCGUUAAAAGGGGUUUCUCUGAAGGGACUUGUGGGAAAGGACAAAAGCGAGCGGCCCCAUUCAGCUGACCAGUCAAAGGCACUAAAUGGGAACAUCAAAAGGCGCCCCAACUAGGAAUACGGAUCCAAUCGCUAGAGAAAGGAACCUGGUUUCUUUUCUUGGCCGCAACACGGCUGAAAAGCCCUAAAGCAAAUAGGCAAAGAAUGCAGAGGGGGCAGAAAGGAAAAAUAAAGAAACAAUCUCAUGAAUGAGUUUUCUUGGGCUUUGGAGGAGAGAAGUGACAACUUCCUAAGCGCCGUUGGGGGCCGGGCGGCGGGGACCGCAGCCGCUGGGACCCGCACUGAGCGCAUCUCUAGCCCUGCGCCGUGGCUGUUUCCGCGUGCUCCUAGGAGAGGCUCCCUUUUUGUGCGCAAUUCCCCGUUCUAUUUAAGGUGGCAAGGUAGAGGAAGAAAGGGACAGUAGGGCGCGCAGCUCGAGGCCAAGGUUCGCGAGCAGCUUUUCUGCGGGGCAGGUUGUGUUUUGAACCCCGGCGCCCCAUCUGUCCGACCCGGCCAUCGCGCCCCGUUCUUCCCUCCACGUUAUCGUUUCCCCAACCUGGUGACUUGGGGUGUUUGAGUUCAAUUUUCUGCCAGCCGAGAACGAACAGGCUUGGCAAGCCAAACCACUUUUAGAACCCCGUUUGUUCACUCCUAUCCACUCCUUGUUCCGCUCCCGGUUCCUCGCACAAGGGAAUCGCUUUCUUAACGUAGCCAAGUUUGUUCCUCUGCUCAGAGCCAGGAGGGAAGUGCAGUCUGACGCUUCCCCGCUUCCCCAGUCUUUGGGGUCAGAGACUGGCUGUGGGCUGAGCCACGGCUUUACGGGAUAGCGGUACCGACUCAGGCGGCUCCCACUAGGGAGGGAAUCCGUCCGUGAGUUCGCGCCCCGAAGAAGGGUGCAGGACGCCGCGAGGGGGUAGGUGUCGGCAGGCCGUGGCAGCCCGGGCUUUGGCCUGCCUGGCCCGGCUGACUUUUGUCUCAGUGUGUUCUGUAAAAUUGUGACAGGUUGUUAGCACAGGAGGGGCCUGAAGGUCAUCGAAAGUGCCGCAUGCUCGGGGCCCAGCACGCUGUGGUAACCCAUUCCUCGGUGGGGCCCAAAGCGCUGGUCUGAGCGCGCGGCCCGCAGUUCUCCAGCACCUGCUCAGGAGUGGGGUCUGGCCUUGGCCUCCCCACACCCAGUAGCCGCCUGAGACAAGUGACAGGCCAGGGAGGCGACAGGAAGGGUUUCAGCACCGGAGCUCAGGGGGAGAGGGAAUUCUUUCCGCGCGCUGAGCGAGGCGGUUUCUAGAUUUUUCCACGCCCGGUUGCGGCUCGGCCCCCAAGCUGACGCCCCAAGAAGCCGGAUUGGGGGCCGUGGAAGCAGAACAACGGGUGCGAGCUGAUUUGCUCUCACCGAAAAUAUCUAGACGGGGGAAUCUAUUCAGAGGCCAUGAUCCUCAAAUGGUUGCUCAAUUCAAGAAGAGCUCCUCGAUUCAAGAAAAGCUUCUCGAGACAGAGUUAACAGCCCCCCAACGGGCAGGUUUCGCCAGGCUUGGUGGUUCGUUAAAACAGUCAGCACAAGAGUAGGGUGCAAGAGGCCAAGUAUCCGCUUGGAGCUUUGGGGAGCCCCUCCUCCCCCAGGUCGGUAGAGGGGGAAAACCCCUGCCUUUUGUUUGUGGGUGAGGGAUGCGCAUUGUGGCAGCAGCCGAGCAAAGGGGGGAAAUUAAUUGCAGCCAAUUAAUAAUUAAUCCCCUUUAAACAACUUUAUUAUCUCUUCCGAACGACAGGGAUUUGUCUGAUAACCCCCCGAAGACCAAAUGUCAAGUUUAACCAAAUAGUUAUUGCUUUAUCAACCCGAGUCUGCAAAUAAAUUAAUCAAAAGCAAA
rnacentral:lncRNA from 1 species